GCUGGGCAUGGUGGUGCAUGCCUGUAAUCCCAGCUACUCAGGAGGCUGAGGCAGGAGAAUUGCUUGAACCUGGGAGGCAGAGGUUGCAGUGAGCCAAGAUUGCACCACUGCACUCCUGCCUGGGAGACAGAGCAAGACUCUGUCUCAA
rnacentral:SRP_RNA from 1 species